rnacentral:rRNA from 1 species
UACGGAGGGUGCAAGCGUUGUCCGGAAUCACUGGGCGUAAAGGGCGCGUAGGCGGCUCAUGAAGGCUGUGGUGAAAGUCCGGGGCUCAACCUCGGAUCGGCCGUGGCGACUCGUGGGCUGGAGCACUGUAGAGGCGGGUGGAAUUCCGGGUGUAGCGGUGAAAUGCGCAGAUAUCAGGAGGAACACCGGUGGCGAAGGCGGUGAUCUGGGCCGACACUGACGCUGUAGAGCGAAAGCGUGGGGAGCGAACAGG